rnacentral:rRNA from 1 species
UACGUAGGUGGCAAGCGUUGUCCGGAAUUAUUGGGCGUAAAGCGCGCGCAGGUGGUUUCUUAAGUCUGAUGUGAAAGCCCACGGCUCAACCGUGGAGGGUCAUUGGAAACUGGGGAACUUGAGUGCAGGAGAGAAGAGUGGAAUUCCACGUGUAGCGGUGAAAUGCGUAGAGAUGUGGAGGAACACCAGUGGCGAAGGCGACUCUUUGGCCUAUAACUGACACUGAGGCGCGAAAGCGUGGGGAGCAAACAGG